rnacentral:lncRNA from 1 species
AAUAAAUGACAUUGAUUAUUUACGUUGAUGUUGCAUAUACUUUUUAAUUUAUGCAAAAUUUUAAAAAUAAAGCGAUGCUUGCUACUUUAACUGGAUACAGUUUCGUUGUACGACAAAAAACAUAUCAGACUUAUAAGAUAAUUUAGUCGCUCUCGUGGAUGGUGCUUACGUUGUGUAUCUUUGAUUGCAAGCUACCUGGAAUAAAAUUCUUCAUCAAUCAUCUGUCUCCGGGUAUUGUGCACAAAAAUCCGGUCUGGGGCUUGCUAGCGUUACGCAAGGGG